GACUGACAGCUGUCCUUCAUCACAGCAGAAGACACAGAAAUCCUCCUCCUCCUGAUCAGAAACAUGACUGUGAUCUGCGUCCUCAUCUGGACUCUCCUCUGCUGCUGCUUCACAGGUAAAGUCCAGAGAAUCCAACUCCUCUCCUCUAUGAACAUCCGUCCCUCUGAAAUGAAGCCCACAAAACCAUGACGCUGCUUUCUGUGUUUGUCUCUGUAUCCUCAGAGUCCAGAGGACAGGUCACAGUGACUCAGCCUGCAGCAGUGACCUCUGCUCCAGGAGAAGACGCAAGAAUCAGUUGUAGUGUCAGUCAGAAUGUGCAUGGCAAUAGCUAUCUGCACUGGUACCAACAGAAGGAUGGAGAAACUCCUAAACUGCUCAUUAAGUAUACUAAUCAGCUGUUAUCAGGGAUAUCAAGUCGUUUUUCGGGCAGUGGAUCUGGAUCUAGUUUCACUCUGACCAUCAGUGGAGUCCAGACUGAAGAUGCAGCAGUUUACUACUGUCAGAGUCAACACAGCAUCAACAGUCAGUGGGUGUUCACACAGUGAAAAAGCGUCGUACAAAAACCUCCCUCAGUCAGACUGAACUGAAACUGAACUGACGGCUGCAGCUGGAGGUUCACACACACACACACACACACACACACACAAACACACGAAAAGGAAUGAUAAUUUCACUUUUUUAUCAUCAAUGUUAACAUAUUAAUUAAAUAUUUAGUUUAGUCUAGUCAACAUUGUACCAACAUCCCUCACAUUAAACUCAGUUCCCUCUCAUUAAAUCUGCUUUUUUACAGAUGACAGUGUUUGAUAUACCUCAAUAUCCUGAUACCCUGAUCUAAUAACUGAUCAAAGCUCCACUUUUUGAGAGAAUAAAGAAUUUGUUUUUUUUUAGGCCUCAUGGGGACAUACUGUAAUAUUAAUAAACAACAUCAAGUUCUUCUCAGUUUGAACUUGGACCAAAAAUCUACUCCAGAAUAUAUUAUUAUAUUAGUGUCCUAUAGAUUUAAAAACUACCUCUGCUGCAUAAAACCCUUUAAAUUUACAUGUUCAAAAACACAACAAAUUAAAAAAUAAAGCCUUAAAAAAAACGGAGCAGUUUCUUACCAGGAUGAGUUUUUAUAUCUCUGAUAAGAACCGAAUCAUUCUAAAGAAUUAAACUUGAAUCAUGAUCCAGUC